rnacentral:sRNA from 1 species
GCCACCAAAUGGUCUAUGUAAGGAAAACAUAUGCAAAGUUGCAUUCUUAGGUGAAAAUGAGAGGUCUUGGUGUAGUAGAGUGGCUUAGACCCCUUGUAGAGACCAAUGUUUGGGAUUAUGUAGUUGUUUGGAAAUAUGGGGAUGACCCAACUAGGUUUAUUGAGUGGAUUGGUUGCUGUUGUAGAGGGAGUUGCAGUGUGAACAUUUGUGUGGAGUCCAAAGAG